UCCGCGCCGCCCCGCCGGCCGGCACCCCGGUUCCCGCCGCGCCUCCCCGCACCCUUCGCCGCCUCCCGGUUCGGUAGAGGCCGCCCGGCAGGGGCCGAAGGCCCAGCGACACGGAGGGGGCGGAACCAGUCGAGCCGCGGCUGCUUCCCGCGGGCCCCGCUCUCGCCGCUCCUGUGCUGGGGAGCGCGUCCCGGGCGCUGCGCGGGUUCCCCCCGCCGGAGGGCGGCGCGGCCGAGUGUGGCGGCGGCGCGGUCCGGGACGGGCGGCCCCCCCCGCCGCCCUGAGCCGCAGCGCCCGACGGAGCGAGCGCCCGAGCGAGCGGGAUUUGCCCAGGUCAGUGUUGCUGCAGAGCCAGAAGAGGGAGCACAGACAUUGCCGCUUCUUGAUCAUGCUUUUAGAGGCAACUUGGAAUAUUUCCAGAGGAAAAUCACUUAACUUGUUUUAAGACCUGUGAGGAAAGUAAAGCUUCUCAAAAUGGAUGCUUAUCAGAAGUGAUGAAUCAUAGUGGAUGAAGGGAAGACAGUUAUGUUAAAUGCUGACAUGACAAGAACACAGGAUUUUCUCAGGAGCUAAUCUGAAAAACUAUGUCCUAGAAUAAUCAGUAAGUAUACAAGAAUUUUCUACCUGUCAUUUAUGCAAAGUUCUGAAGGAUUUCCAGAUAUAUUUUUAUAUGAAAGAUGCAGCACUUCUGAUAUAAGAAAUCUAGUUUUGUAUGGAUUUUUUUGUUGGUUUUGUUUGGGUUUUUUUUUCCUUUUAGGAGAAGCAGAAGAUGACAAUCACUAUUUAUGCAGUUCCGUAGUGCUCUGACCUGGUUCACAAUGGUUUUUUUCCUGCAUCUAACUUCUGAUUCUUAGCUAAAUCCCUUUUUUUCUUAUCUUUCCCCAUAUUGUAGCAUCGACCCAUCUUGUGUAUCUGUGAUGUGUGGUGUGACAGAAAAACACCUCUUCCAAAAACUCCUCUUUUCCCGCUAGAGGGAGGACUCUCACAAAAUACUCUUGGGAGACUGUUCCCCUGACUGAGACUCUUCAACUCUAAACAAACCUUUCUGGGAAUGUUUUCAUCUAAUGGUAAGGACUAUCCUGCAAUGAAGUUAUAUGUAAUGAAAAGUAAUGAAAUUAAAUUUCUGUCAUGUUUUGAAAAAAAAUAAGGACUGGAUAUUGGAAUUUGCUCUUCUUCCCCUUUUUUUUUAAAAAAAAAGGUAGGUAUGUUAUGUAGGUAUGUAUUUGCUGGGGUUUAAUUUAAAAAAGCCAACCAAUCCUAUGCACAUUCUGAGGAGUGAAGCUUACAGAAUUUUAAAUAUAUAAUUCUUGGAAAUGUAAGAAUAAACAGAAUUUGUACACAGGUAUUUGUAUCUUC
rnacentral:lncRNA from 1 species